AUGAAGCCUAAACCUAAAAUUUCUGAGGAAAAACAUGCCCCAUAUGUGGUUCCAGUCACUGCUAAGGGCACUGAGAAAAAUGCGCCAACUGAUAAAAUUCCUGAAGUAGUUGAAAAGUGGACAAAAGUAAUCAAAAGUGGCAAGGAUAGAGGCAAGAAACAAGUUCAAGAAGGGGUUAAAGACUGCAACCCUGGUAAGUUGGUUUGUGGAAAUGGAUUUGAUGCUCUAGGGAUUUUGAAUGAUCUCCUAGAGCUUCAAAACACUGGCCAAUGA